rnacentral:lncRNA from 1 species
CGGAUCUCGCGAUGUUUCAGGGUGAGCCGGACGCAGGCGUGCCUGCGCAGUGCGCGGAGGAGUGCUGUUCGUGUGUUCGAGUCCCUGGGUUGCUUCCUGGGGUCUGUGGUGCUGGGUGUGCUAUCUGCGUGUGAUUCUCUAGCGAGAGAUUGUGGGCGAGUGACCGAGUGGGCAAGGGGCCGUCACUGUGUGUGCGUGAUUUUGACAGUGUGUGGUGGUAGCUUCUGACUCCGCGUGGGUCGUUGAAUGUAUGACUGGGACCGUUUAGCGGUGGAUACACAACUGUGUGCGGCUGUGGAAGAUUGCCUCAUCCGUUACGUUCCCAUUUCCGUGGAACAACAGUUUUACCAGAAGGUUUCGAAGGAACCUUAAAGUUUGGAAGCGUAAGAGUUUAUCUGGUAACUAAUUUUAAACAUUACAUCUAUGGUGAGUUAAAUGUGGGUUAUGAAGGAGAACGCAAAAUAAAAACGUUAUAAAGAUGUAAAGGAGUUUUAUGGGGCGGCAUCUCUUGGGCAAAUAUCAGACCGCCGUAGGUAGUUGUUAAUUCUCUCUUGUUUUUAGGCGGCUUUGGUGUCAUCAAAUGUGAGAAGCCCUGGACUUUACACAUCCCGAGCCAGUGUGAUCCAGUAUGAUUGGGAGUCCGAGUGCCAGAUGCCGGUCAGGACCUGUUAUGCUGGGUCUCAGAAUGCGGAAACUCUCCCUGUCCGAGGUGGAACAGUUUGUCCUUGAGUGAGGACUGGAGUCCUGAGUGACUCUUUUGAUUUGAUCCUGUUUCCCUCAAACCUGAGAUGGGAGCCUCACUGUAUUGCCCAGGCUGGUCUUGAACUCCGGAGCUCAAGUGAUCGUCUUGCUUCAGCCUUGCAAAAUGAUGGUGAAGCUGCAUCAUUGUCUGGGAUGGAGUCCCUGUCUGACCGGGCCAUGUUGUAUGUUCCUUGCUGUACACGUGGUUGACAAAGAAAAGGGAAGAUGGAGCUGCGAUGUUGGACAUGCCUGGCCCCCAGGACAUACAGCCCUGCCGAGCAAAUAAUGAACGUAACUCACAAACUUCCUGCUUAUCAUCAAACGCACGCAUCCACUUAUCAUCAAACACCUCGGGUGACAGAAGAAUGCAGGUCAGCUCCCUGCUGCCUUGGCAUUAUCAAUCAGCCCAGGAACCAUCCUAUAAAAUCUCCAGCAAGCCUUUGUUUCCUUGCAGUCAGCUCCUCUUCCACUGAUUCUGCCUGUUGCUCCCUGAUAACAUACUUUGAUACUGUCUUUAAUAAAUCUGCCUUUCUUCACCCACAGCUGUCUUGGUAAGUUCUUUUACCUCUGUGCCACCAGCCCAAACAGUUGCUGCUCACCUGAAACAAAGAAUAAAUGUGGUUUUUAAGCAAAUCAAAGUUUACUUAGUGACUCUUACCAAGCUUUGUAGAAGGUUGUGCCAAAAGGAGAAGCUUAAGAGAUAACGGCUAAAAAUAAAAAAUGUUACCACCGCCCAAGGGGUUCUUCCUGCCCACUGCAUAAAGAAA